rnacentral:rRNA from 1 species
AACGAACGCUGGCGGCAGGCCUAACACAUGCAAGUCGAACGUGAAGCCACCUUCGGGUGGUGGAAAGUGGCAGACGGGUGAGUAACGCGUGGGAAUCUACCCAAUGGUACGGAAUAACUCAGGGAAACUUGAGCUAAUACCGUAUGUGCCCGAAAGGGGAAGAUUUAUCGCCAUUGGAUGAGCCCGCGUCUGAUUAGCUAGUUGGUGGGGUAAUGGCCCACCAAGGCGACGAUCAGUAGCGGUCUGAGAGGAUGAUCAGCCACACUGGGACUGAGACACGGCCCAGACUCCUACGGGAGGCAGCAGUGGGGAAGUAUUGGACAAUGGGCGGCAAGCCUGAUCCAGCCAUGCCGCGUGAGUGAUGAAGGCCUAGGGUUGUAAAGCUCUUUCGGCGGGGACGAUAAUGACGGUACCCGCAGAAGAAGCCCCGGCUAACUUCGUGCCAGCCGCCGCGGUAAC